rnacentral:rRNA from 1 species
GACGAACGCUGGCGGCGUGCUUAACACAUGCAAGUCGAGCGGAAAGGCCACUUCGGUGGUACUCGAGCGGCGAACGGGUGAGUAACACGUGAGUAAUCUGCCCUUCACUCUGGGAUGGCCACCGGAAACGGUGAUUAAUACCGGAUACGACCACUCCACGCAUGUGGCGGUGGUGGAAACUUUUUGGGUGGGGGAUGUGCUCGCGGCCUAUCAGCUUGUUGGUGGGGUAAUGGCCUACCAAGGCUUCGACGGGUAGCCGGCCCGAGAGGGUGACCGGCCACACUGGGACUGGGACACGGCCCAGACUCCUACGGGAGGCAGCAGUGGGGAAUAUUGGACAAUGGGCGGAAGCCUGAUCCAGCAACGCCGCGUGAGGGAUGACGGCCUUCGGGUUGUAAACCUCUUUCAGCACCGACGAAGCGCAAGUGACGGUAGGUGCAGAAGAAGGACCGGCCAACUACGUGCCAGCAGCCGCCGCCG